AUUGAACGCUGGCGGCAUGCCUUACACAUGCAAGUCGAACGGCAGCACGGGAGCAAUCCUGGUGGCGAGUGGCGAACGGGUGAGUAAUAUAUCGGAACGUGCCCAGUCGUGGGGGAUAACGUAGCGAAAGCUACGCUAAUACCGCAUACGAUCUAUGGAUGAAAGCGGGGGAUCGCAAGACCUCGCGCGAUUGGAGCGGCCGAUAUCAGAUUAGGUAGUUGGUGAGGUAAAGGCUCGCCAAGCCGACGAUCUGUAGCUGGUCUGAGAGGACGACCAGCCACACUGGGACUGAGACACGGCCCAGACUCCUACGGGAGGCAGCAGUGGGGGAAUUUUGGACAAUGGGCGCAAGCCUGAUCCGAGCAAUGCCGCGUGC
rnacentral:rRNA from 1 species